UACGGAGGGUGCAAGCGUUAUCCGGAUUCACUGGGUUUAAAGGGUGCGUAGGAGGGCAGGUAAGUCAGUGGUGAAAUCCCCGAGCUUAACUUGGGAACUGCCGUUGAUACUAUCUGUCUUGAAUAUUGUGGAGGUGAGCGGAAUAUGUCAUGUAGCGGUGAAAUGCUUAGAUAUGACAUAGAACACCAAUUGCGAAGGCAGCACGCCUACACAUAUAUUGACUCUGAGGCACGAAAGCGUGGGGAUCAAACAGG
rnacentral:rRNA from 1 species